CAAUAGCGUAUAUUAAAGUUGUUGCGGUAAAAAAGCUCGUAGUUGGAUUUCUGUUGAGAGCGACCGGUCCAUACCAUGUAUGCGUAUCUGGCUUGCUCUCGGCAUCCUCUCGAUAGACGUUACUGCGCUUGAUUGCGUGGUGCGGAUCUCGGGACUUUUACUUUGAGGAAAUUAGAGUGUUCACCGCAGGCUUUCGCCAGAAUACAUUAGCAUGGAAUAAUACUAUAGGAUCUUGGUUCUAUUUUGUUGGUUUCUAGAAUUGAGAUAAUGAUUAAUAGGGACAAUUGGGGGCAUUCGUAUCAACACGUCAGAGGUGGAAUUCUUGGAUUGUGUUGCGACGAACUACUGCGAAAGCAUUUGCCAAGGAUGUUUUCAUUGA
rnacentral:rRNA from 1 species